AAGAUUUGGUCAAAGUCAAACUUUGUAAAAAUUUGACCAACUUUGUAGAAAAAACUAUCAACAUCUACAAUACUAAAGCUAUAUGGUACGAAAAUUAGUUUCAUGAUGCAUCUAACGAUAUUGAUUUCAUAUUGUGAAUCUUGAUAGUUUUUUCUAUAAACUUAGUCAAAGUUAACAAAGUUUGACUUUGACCAAAUCUUA
rnacentral:pre_miRNA from 1 species